AGCAUGGUCUUAGCUUGCUAAGUUUGAUGGCGACCGGCGCACGGGUGAGUAACACGUAUCCAACCUGCCGAUGACUCGGGGAUAGCCUUUCGAAAGAAAGAUUAAUGCCCGAUGGUUUCAAGGGAUUGCAUGGUAUCUUGAAUAAAGAUUCAUCGGUAUGCGAUGGGGAUGCGUUCCAUUAGAUAGUAGGCGGGGUAACGGCCCACCUAGUCUUCGAUGGAUAGGGGUUCUGAGAGGAAGGUCCCCACAUUGGGACUGAGACACGGCCCAAACUCC
rnacentral:rRNA from 1 species